rnacentral:rRNA from 1 species
UGUCCUUUAGAAUUUAAUUUAAGGUCUAGCCUGCCCACUGAUAAAAUUAAAUGGCCGCAGUAUUUUAACUGUGCAAAGGUAGCAUAAUCAUUAGUCUUUUAAUUGAAGGCUUGUAUGAAUGGUUGGACGAAAUAUUAACUGUUUCAUAAAAAUUUAUUUAGAAUUUUAUUUUUUAGUUAAAAAGCUAAAAUUUUUUUAAAAGACGAGAAGACCCUAUAGAUCUUUAUAAUUUAUUUAUUAUAGUUAUAUAGAUUAUUUAAAUUAUGAUUUUAUAAAUUAUUUUGUUGGGGUGACAUUAAAAUUUAAUAAACUUUUAAUAAAUUUUUACAUUAAUUUAUGAAUUAUUGAUCCAUUAUUAGUGAUUAUAAAAUUAAGUUACCUUAGGGAUAACAGCGUAAUUUUUUUGAAGAGUUCAUAUCGAUAAAAAAGAUUGCGACCUCGAUGUUGGAUUAAGAUAUAAUUUUGGGUGCAGCAAUUCAAUAAUUAAGUCUGUUCGACUUUUAAUUUCUUAC